GGCUUCGUAGCUCAGCUGGUAGAGCAUUUUUCAUUUCUGGGGCAUGUUGUUUCUGUCGCUGGUGCGAAUCCGGCCGAAGUCC